rnacentral:rRNA from 1 species
UAGGGAAUAUUGCACAAUGGGCGAAAGCCUGAUGCAGCAACGCCGCGUGCGGGAAGACAGCCCUAGGGUUGUAAACCGCUUUCAGCAGGGAAGAAACUGACGGUACCUGCAGAAGAAGAUGCGGCCAACUACGUGCCAGCAGCCGCGGUGACACGUAGGCAUCAAGCGUUAUCCGGAUUUAUUGGGCGUAAAGAGCUCGUAGGCGGUUCGGUAAGUCGGGUGUGAAAACUCUGGGCUCAACCCAGAGAGGCCACUCGAUACUGCUGUGACUAGAGUGCGGUAGGGGAGCGGGGAAUUCCUGGUGUAGCGGUGAAAUGCGCAGAUAUCAGGAGGAACACCAGUGGCGAAGGCGCCGCUCUGGGCCGUAACUGACGCUGAGGAGCGAAAGCAUGGGUAGCAAACAGGAUUAGAUACCCUGGUAGUCCAUGCCGUAAACGUUGGGCACUAGGUGUGGGUCUCAACCAACGAGAUCCGCGCCGUCGCUAACGCAUU